rnacentral:tRNA from 1 species
GGGAAGUUGGCAGAGCGGAUUAAUGCAGCCGCUUGGAAAGCGGCGAAGGUUUUCAAACCUUCACAGGUUCAAAUCCUGUACUUCCCGCCA